GAUGAACGCUGGCGGCGUGCCUAAUACAUGCAAGUCGAGCGAACGGACGAGAAGCUUGCUUCUCUGAUGUUAGCGGCGGACGGGUGAGUAACACGUGGAUAACCUACCUAUAAGACUGGGAUAACUUCGAGAAACCGGAGCUAAUACCGGAUAAUAUUUUGAACCGCAUGGUUCAAAAGUGAAAGACGGUCUUGCUGUCACUUAUAGAUGGAUCCGCGCUGCAUUAGCUAGUUGGUAAGGUAACGGCUUACCAAGGCAACGAUGCAUAGCCGACCUGAGAGGGUGAUCGGCCACACUGGAACUGAGACACGGUCCAGACUCCUACGGGAGGCAGCAGUAGGGAAUCUUCCGCAAUGGGCGAAAGCCUGACGGAGCAACGCCGCGUGAGUGAUGAAGGUCUUCGGAUCGUAAAACUCUGUUAUUAGGGAAGAACAUAUGUGUAAGUAACUGUGCACAUCUUGACGGUACCUAAUCAGAAAGCCACGGCUAACUACGUGCCAGCAGCCGCGGUAAUACGUAGGUGGCAAGCGUUAUCCGGAAUUAUUGGGCGUAAAGCGCGCGUAGGCGGUUUUUUAAGUCUGAUGUGAAAGCCCACGGCUCAACCGUGGAGGGUCAUUGGAAACUGGAAAACUUGAGUGCAGAAGAGGAAAGUGGAAUUCCAUGUGUAGCGGUGAAAUGCGCAGAGAUAUGGAGGAACACCAGUGGCGAAGGCGACUUUCUGGUCUGUAACUGACGCUGAUGUGCGAAAGCGUGGGGAUCAAACAGGAUUAGAUACCCUGGUAGUCCACGCCGUAAACGAUGAGUGCUAAGUGUUAGGGGGUUUCCGCCCCUUAGUGCUGCAGCUAACGCAUUAAGCACUCCGCCUGGGGAGUACGACCGCAAGGUUGAAACUCAAAGGAAUUGACGGGGACCCGCACAAGCGGUGGAGCAUGUGGUUUAAUUCGAAGCAACGCGAGGAACCUUACCAAAUCUUGACAUCCUUUGACAACUCUAGAGAUAGAGCCUUCCCCUUCGGGGGGGCAAAGUGACAGGUGGUGCAUGGUUGUCGUCAGCUCGUGUCGUGAGAUGUUGGGUUAAGUCCCGCAACGAGCGCAACCCUUAAGCUUAGUUGCCAUCAUUAAGUUGGGCACUCUAAGUUGACUGCCGGUGACAAACCGGAGGAAGGUGGGGAUGACGUCAAAUCAUCAUGCCCCUUAUGAUUUGGGCUACACACGUGCUACAAUGGACAAUACAAAGGGCAGCGAAACCGCGAGGUCAAGCAAAUCCCAUAAAGUUGUUCUCAGUUCGGAUUGUAGUCUGCAACUCGACUACAUGAAGCUGGAAUCGCUAGUAAUCGUAGAUCAGCAUGCUACGGAGAAGACGUUCCCGGGUCU
rnacentral:rRNA from 1 species